rnacentral:rRNA from 1 species
AAAGGAAUUGACGGGGGCCCGCACAAGCGGUGGAGCAUGUGGUUUAAUUCGAUGCAACGCGAAGAACCUUACCGGGGCUUGACAUCCUACGAACCCUGUGGAAACACAGGGGUGUCUUUGGGAAUCCAAAGGAGCGUAGAGACAGGUGGUGCAUGGUUGUCGUCAGCUCGUGUCGUGAGAUGUUGGGUUAAGUCCCGCAACGAGCGCAACCCUUGCUGUUAGUUGCUAACGGGUAGAGCCGAGCACUCUAGCAGGACUGCCGGUGACAAACCGGAGGAAGGUGGGGAUGACGUCAAAUCAUCAUGCCCUUUAUGUCCCGGGCUACACACGUGCUACAAUGGCCGGUACAGAGAGAAGCUAAGCCGCGAGGUGGCGCCAAUCUCCAAAGCCGGUCCCAGUUCGGAUUGCAGGCUGCAACUCGCCUGCAUGAAGUCGGAAUCGCUAGUAAUCGCGAAUCAGAACGUCGCGGUGAAUGCGUUCCCGGGCCUUGUACACACCGCCCGU